rnacentral:rRNA from 1 species
AGCAGCCGCGGUAAUUCCAGCUCCAAUAGCGUAUAUUAAAGUUGUUGCAGUUAAAAAGCUCGUAGUUGAAUUUCGGGGUUAGUAGGUUGGUCAUGCCUCCGGUAUGUACUGGUCUCACUGAUUCCUCCUUCCUGAUGAACCGUAAUGCCAUUAAUUUGGUGUUGCGGGGAAUUUGGACUGUUACUUUGAAAAAUUAGAGUGUUUAAAGCAAGCUAACGCUUGAAUACAUUAGCAUGGAAUAAUGAAAUAGGACGUUCGAUCCUAUUUUGUUGGUUUCUAGGAUUGACGUAAUGAUUAAUAGGGAUAGUUGGGGGCAUUAGUAUUCAAUUGUCAGAGGUGAAAUUCUUGGAUUUAUUGAAGACUAACUACUGCGAAAGCAUUUGCCAAGGAUGUUUUCAUUAAUCAGGAACGAAAGUUAGGGGAUCGAAGACGAUCAGAUACCGUCGUAGUCUUAACCAUAAACUAUGCCGACUAGGGAUCGGAUGAUGUUAAUUUUUAAUUGACUCAUUCGGCGCCUUAC